GAACUGAUAGUAUAAUAAUUGCGUUGAAUUGCAGAUUCAAAGGUGUUUUAAAAAACUUAGUUCU
rnacentral:tRNA from 1 species